rnacentral:pre_miRNA from 1 species
UAAUACAACUUGAGUACUAACAAGCCUAUUCUAAUACAAUUAGGCUUGUUAGUACUCAAGUUGUAUUAGAAUAGGCUUGUUAGUACUCAAGUUGUAUUAG